rnacentral:lncRNA from 1 species
UGGCAUUCACCAAUUUUUUCUCCUCGAUAUUACUUUUUUUUUUUGAGGAAAACUAGAGGGGUUUACACCCCUACAGGCUAUCUACACUUGUGCCCCGUGUAGACUCACUGACAUAGAGGUUGCGGCAGCAACUUACAACUUGUUAGCAUGAAUAAACAUAUAUAUAUCACCCGUCCAUCGAUUCAUCACUAAUAAAAUAUAAAUAAAAAAAUUUGGAUUGGAAGUUUUUAUAUAUAUAUAUCCCCGUAGCAACAUCAUACGCUGCAUCGCAGUUAACUUUCACAGAAUUCACCCGUCCAUCGAUUCAUCACGAAUGGCAGUCGCAGCGGGGAGGAGGGGGGGGGGGACUCAUCUUCUAUUCUGACCCUGAUCUGAGUUUGGUGUGGAGCAAAAUAUGAAACAUUCAGUGCGCAAACAAAAUUAAGCAUUUCAUGUGGCGUUUUUCUCACAACAGCCAUCCCCUCCGUAUGAAUCUGAAAUGAAAAGGAAUGGAGCUCGAUACUUGUUGUGUUCUUCAAGUGCAAAACCAUGGUUCAGGUCUGGGGGAGCACCUAGCUCUUAGCCGUGAGAGAGAGUUGCUGGCUGCAAAGCAAAAGCUUCGGCCAAGGAAGUGACUGAGAUGAUCAUGGCUAUUAAGGAUGGGAUGACCCUUCAAAUGGAUACCCGUGGUUCUUCUCCAGUGUAAUUUAAUGAACUAAAUAGAUAGUCUCUUCCCUUAUUUUUGUCAUUUAGUUUAUUUAUUAGUUACACUAGAGAAGAACCAUGGACACCUGUUUAGAGCACCGUCCCCAUCCUUAAUUAGGCCAUGAUUAUUCUCCAUGGUCAUUAGGGGAUG